rnacentral:rRNA from 1 species
UCCUACGGGGCGCAGCAGUGGGGAAUAUUGGACAAUGGGGGAAACCCUUAUCCAGCGACGCCGCGUGAGGGAAGAAGGUUUUCGGAUUGUAAACCUCUGUCAGUGGGGACGAUAAUGACGGUACCCACGGAGGAAGCCACGGCUAACUACGUGCCAGCAGCCGCGGUAAUACGUAGGUGGCAAGCGUUGUCCGGAAUUACUGGGUGUAAAGGGAGCGUAGGCGGGCGAGAAAGUUGAAUGUUAAAUCUACCGGCUUAACUGGUAGCUGCGUUCAAAACUUCUUGUCUUGAGUGAAGUAGAGGCAG